GACGAACGCUGGCGGCAUGCCUAACACAUGCAAGUCGAACGAUACCUUCGGGUCUAGUGGCGCACGGGUGCGUAACGCUUGGUAACCUGCCCUUAAGUUCGGAAUAACUCCCCGAAAGGGGUGCUAAUACCGGAUAAUGUCUUCGGACCAACGAUUUCUCGCCUUUGGAUGGGGCCGCGUUGGAUUAGCUAGUUGGUAGGGUAAAAGCCUGCCAAGGCGACGAUCCAUAGCUGGUCUGAGAGGAUGAUCAGCCACACUGGGACUGAGACCAGGCCCAGACUGGUACGGGAGGCAGGAGUGGGGAAUAAUGGAGAAUGAGCGAAAGGCUGAUCCAGCAAGGCCGGGUGAGUGAUGAAGGGGUUAGGGUUGGAAAGCUCUUUUAACCGGGAUGAUAAUGACAGUACCGGGAGAAGAAGCACCGGCUAACUACGUG
rnacentral:rRNA from 1 species